AAUCAACGCUGGCGGCGUGCCUCAGACAUGCAAGUCGAACGCUGCUGUUCGCCUUCGGGUGGACAGCGGAGUGGCGCACGGGUGAGUAACACGUAGGUAAUCUACCUUUGGGUGGGAAUAACAGCCGGAAACGGCUGCUAAUACCGCAUAAUGCAGCGGCAUCACAUGAUGACAGUUGUUAAAGCGAGGGAUCGUAAGACCUCGCGCCUGAAGAGGAGCCUGCGGCAGAUUAGGUAGUUGGUGAGGUAAUGGCUCACCAAGCCUGCGAUCUGUAACCGGCCUGAGAGGGCGGUCGGUCACACUGACACUGACAUACGGGUCAGACUCCUACGGGAGGCAGCAGUCGGGAAUUUUGGGCAAU
rnacentral:rRNA from 1 species